GCUGGUCUAGCACAGUGGCAGUGCAGAGAGCUUGUACCUCUCCGACGAGUGUUCGAUUCACUCGACCAGCUCCA
rnacentral:tRNA from 3 species